rnacentral:rRNA from 1 species
GACGAACGCUGGCGGCGUGCUUAACACAUGCAAGUCGAACGGAAAGGCCCUGCUUUUGUGGGGUGCUCGAGUGGCGAACGGGUGAGUAACACGUGAGUAACCUGCCCUUGACUUUGGGAUAACUUCAGGAAACUGGGGCUAAUACCGGAUAGGAGCUCCUGCUGCAUGGUGGGGGUUGGAAAGUUUCGGCGGUUGGGGAUGGACUCGCGGCUUAUCAGCUUGUUGGUGGGGUAGUGGCUUACCAAGGCUUUGACGGGUAGCCGGCCUGAGAGGGUGACCGGCCACAUUGGGACUGAGAUAAGGCCCAGACUCCUACGGGAGGCAGCGGUGGGGAAUAUUGCACAGUGGGCGGAAGCCUGAUGCAGCAACGCCGCGUGCGGGAUGACGGCCUUCGGGUUGUAAACCGCUUUCGCCUGUGACGAAGCGUGAGUGACGGUAAUGGGUAAAGAAGCACCGGCUAACUACGUG